AUAUAUUCGCGGUUAAAUAUACUAAUUACGGUGAAUUGGACUCGUUGCAACUUAUGUUUUCGGCAACAGGAAUUGAAAUACACUUAUGGACCUGUUGCAGCGACAUUUUCCUCGCCGCAUUAAACGAUAACAUCUAAAAUCUAAAGCGAAUGCCCUCGACUCUCUCCGCAAAACUCUGUUUUUCCUUUGAGAAAAAACUCUCUUCGCAAACGAUAAGAAAUUUCUGAUCUUUUUCAUGUCUUCUCGGCGACCCUCGACCUCGACGACACCAAUCACCGUCCACCUCCUGCACGCCGUCGUUCCAUGCCUGCCCGUGCAUCGAGGUUCCUUGAAUUAUAUUGGAGAAAUUGGUCGAGAAGAACUGCAUUCCAGUAGUGCUGACGACUGAUAUUUAUUGUAAUUGCAGAUGUGUGGAAAAGGACUUUUCAAUGCUAACCUUUUUCAACAAUAUUUGACUUUGACUAUCUGUAACUUUUUUUUUUUUUUAUAAGUACGAAUAUAUAUCUGGAACUAAAUUCCUGUAAUACAGUCUUUCCAUCAACUAUAUAUAUGUACUUGGUCAUUUACUUCA